rnacentral:hammerhead_ribozyme from 1 species
ACACUGCUGAGGAGUCCCAUAAUAGGACGAAACGGCUGUUCAGUGC